rnacentral:rRNA from 1 species
AGAACGAACGCUGGCGGCAGGCCUCAAACAUGCAAGUCUAGGGGGCGUAGCAAUACGUCACCGGCGGACGGGUGCGUAACACGUGGGAAUGUACUUACUGGUUCGGAACAACUCAGGGAAACUUGAGCUAAUACCGAAUGUGCCCGAAAGGGGAAAGAUUUAUCGCCAGUAAAUCAGCCCGCGUCCGAUUAGCUAGUUGGCGGGGUAAAGGCCCACCAAGGCGACGAUCGGUAGCUGUUCUGAGAGGAAGAUCAGCCACACUGGGACUGAGACACGGCCCAGACUCCUACGGGAGGCAGCAGUUGGGAAUCUUGGACAAUGGGGGAAACCCUGAUCCAGCCAUGCCGCGUGAGUGAUGAAGGCCUUCGGGUUGUAAACUCUUUCGACGGGGACGAUAAUGACGGUACCCGUAGGAAGAAGCUCCGGCUAACUUCGCGCCAGCAGCCGC